rnacentral:rRNA from 1 species
UACGUAGGUGGCAAGCGUUAUCCGGAAUUAUUGGGCGUAAAGAGUGAGCAGGCGGCUAUUUAAGUCUGAGGUCAAAUCCAGUGGCUCAACCACUGUACGCCUUGGAAACUGGGUAGCUAGAGUACGAGAGAGGUAUGUGGAACUCCAUGUGUAGCGGUGAAAUGCGUAGAUAUAUGGAAGAACACCAGCGGCGAAGGCGGCAUACUAGCUCGAUACUGACGCUCAGUCACGAAAGCGUGGGUAGCAAAUAGGA